AUUGUAACCUCAUAGCCAGGAUAUCAAGUGUCAAGAUCAAAGGGAGGGGAGGGAGGAGGUUGGGGGCACACCUUGAUGACUGCAGAUUAAGGUUUAUCUUAGGCCGUUAUAUUGGUUUUGGGGAGAAGGUAUCAGCUGGAACACUUAGAAGGCAAUCAUGUUCGAAUUCCUUUCACGAACCAGGUCUAUCCCUGCGGCAUAGCCGGAUAUGUCUGGUGCCUCUUGCGUGCUGGUUCAUUCACCCCUCCAUCUUCCAUCUGAAGAGUUUGUCCAUCGUCUGUCGGCCUUUUCUCCUGCGCUGAAUCUGGGGCUGUUAUAUGUGCUGCUGUUAUAUACUCAGGCAACUUUGAGUUUUUUUUUUUGUGAGCCGCAGCUGCCUUUUAUGAUUUGAAGCAAAGGUGGGCUUCAGGAUUGUGUGCAAUUGUGUGCUCUAAAUCAUCCAAUAAGAUUGUGUUAAUUUAGCCUACCAAUACAUGGUAGACCUAAAUUUUGAAUGUAGGCAGCUUGUAAGAGGAGAUUACUGUCAAGCUGUAUCUUAUGCUUUUCAAGGGAAGGCGGGGGAGAAGAACAAGGGGUAGAACAUACCUUGAUGAUCCAAGGGUGCCUCGGAGGGGUGAUAUUCUGAUUUAUG